UACGUAGGGGGCGAGCGUUGUCCGGAUUUAUUGGGCGUAAAGAGCUCGUAGGCGGUUCGGUAAGUCGAAUGUGAAAUCUCCACGCUCAACGUGGAGGGGUCAUUCGAAACUGCCGUGACUUGAGUACGGUAGGGGAGUGUGGAAUUCCCGGUGUAGCGGUGAAAUGCGCAGAGAUCGGGAGGAACACCCGUAGCGAAGGCGGCACUCUGGGCCGGAACUGACGCUGAGGAGCGAAAAGCGUGGGGAGCAAACAGGG
rnacentral:rRNA from 1 species